rnacentral:rRNA from 1 species
GUGCACCAGGCGCGAAACCUCCGCAAUGCGGGAAACCGCGACGGGGGACCCCGAGUGCCGUGGCAACGCCACGGCUUUUCCGGAGUGUAAAAAGCUCCGGGAAUAAGGGCUGGGCAAGGCCGGUGGCAGCCGCCGCGGUAAUACCGGCGGCCCGAGUGGUGGCCGGCUAUUAUUGGGCCUAAAGCGUCCGUAGCCGGGCCCGUAAGUCCCUGGCGAAAAUCCCACGGCUCAACCGUGGGGCUUGCUGGGGAUACUGCGGGUCUUGGGACCGGGAGAGGCGGGGGGUACCCCUGGGGUAGGGGUGAAAUCCUAUAAUCCCAGGGGACCGCCAGUGGCGAAGGCGCCCCGCUGGAACGGGUCCGACGGUGAGGGACGAAGGCCAGGGAGCAAACCGGAUUAGAUACCCCUG